ACCAGACUCCUACGGGAGGCAGCAGUGGGGAUAUUGCACAAUGGGGGGAACCCUGAUGCAGCGACGCCGCGUGGGUGAAGGAGCGUUUCGGCGCGUAAAGCCCUAUCGGCAGGGAAGAAGGAGGACGGUACCUGACUAAGAAGCCCCGGCUAAAUACGUGCCAGCAGCCGCGGUAAUACGUAUGGAGCAAGCGUUAUCCGGAUUUACUGGGUGUAAAGGGAGCGUAGGCGGCCUGCCAAGUCUGAUGUGAAAUACCGGGGCUCAACCCCGGGGCUGCAUUUGGAACUGUGCUGCUAGAGUGUCGGAGAGGCAGGCGGAAUUCCUAGUGUAGCGGUGAAAUGCGUAGAUAUCAGGAGGAACACCGGUGGCGAAGGCGGCCUGCUGGACUGCGACUGACGUUGAGGCCCGAAAGCGUGGGGAGCAAACAGGAUUAGAUACCCGGGUAU
rnacentral:rRNA from 1 species